rnacentral:lncRNA from 10 species
CUUGCCUCAGCCUCCCAAGUAGCUGGGAUUGCAGGUGCCUGCCACCACUGGGCUACUUUUUUUGUAUUUUUAGUAGAGACGGGGUUUCAUUAUGUUGGCCAGGCUGGUCUUGAACUCCUGACUUCAUGAUCCACCUACCUCGGCCUCCCAAAGAAAGUGCCUUACUUUCCCUUUGUCUUCUGCUAUGAUUGUAAGUUUCUUGAAGCCUCCCCAGCCAUGUGGAACUGUGGGUCAAUUAAACCUUUUUCCUUUAUAAAUUGCCCAGUCAUGGGUAUUUCUUCAUAGCAGUGUGAAAAUGGACUAAUACAAUGUUCAGAAAGUCCUUUACUAUUUCAAAUUCAUUUUAUUUGAAUAUCCUUUUUAAAAGAAGUUUACUACUGUGUUAUAAAAAUAAUACUUUCAUAUGCUAGUUGGUUAUUGCUCUGUAACAAAUAACUCCAAUAUUUAGCAGUUGAAAACAGCACACUUUUAUUGUCUCACAGUUUCCAAGGGUCAGGAAUCUGAGUACAGCUUAACUGGAUCUUCUGCUUUAUGUUCUCUAACAAGGCUUCAAUCAAAGUCUGCAGUCUCAUCAGAAGGCUUGGCUGAGGAAGGCUUGAUUGAUGCCAUUUCCAAGCUCAAUAGGUGGUUUUGGCAGCAUUCAUUUUCUUUGCAGGUUGUUGGGCUGAGGCCCUCUGUUCCUUUCUGGCUGUUGACCAGAGGCUGUCCUCAAUUCCUUGCCAGGUGGGCCUCUCCCAGAUGGCAACUUGUUUAUCAAAGCAUGAAAACCAAGAAGGUGAUAAAGAAAGUCUGCUAGCAAGACAUAAGUCACAAUCUUUUGUAAUCUAUUUAUGAAAGUGACAUCCCAUCAUCUUGACCACAAUCUAUUGAUUAGAAACAAGUACAGCUCACCCUCAACAAGAGGAGAUAAUAUCCAGGUGUGAAUUGCACAAGGACAGGAAAUAGAGGAAACCACAUAACUGAGCUCAAGUCCAAGACAGCUCAAUAAUAUCACACACAGAGUUCUCCCAUCUAUCCCAAGGAGAGAAUGCCAAUUUGUGAGGGUAUCUUCUCUUGGACCUAGAAUGAGAGAAUAAGGAACAGACUAAUCCAGUGGAAAAACUAUAUUCGACCCAAGGAUCUGUAUCCACACAGUUUGACAAUAAUUUACUUCUUUCUGGAAGCGAUGAGCACAGUGUAAUUCCUGAGAAAUUUUAAUAAUGAUAUUUUAAUUAUAAUUAAGUGAAACCUAGCAAAGUUGGCUGUAUCUGGAGGAACUCCACUGUGGGAAACAGAUUCUUAAGCCAAACUCAACGUGUGACUUCCAUUAGAUGGCUGAAGAUGGCUGUUUCGCUGCAUCAAUGUGUGACUUUCAAUAGAUGAUCGAAGAUGGCUGUUUGGCACUGUGUCUGAAUUAAGCCAGAAGGAAGGAGGAAGAAGAUGAAGAAAAGGCAUGCCUCUACCCCUUAGGACCACGUCUCUGAAGCUGUAUACAACAUUUCUGCUCUCAUAUAAUUGGGCAGAACUUAGUCAUAGAGCUACAUGUAGUUGCAAGGGAAGCUAUAUGCACUAAUGUGCUUAGUUAAACAUUGGGAUUCUCUUACUAAGGUACAUAAGGAGAACAUAUAUUUGGAGAGGCAACUAUCCAUCUCUGCCACAAGAUCUGAAACAAUUAUUGUGAGACUAUAAACAUAGAAAAAAGCUCCAGAGAUCAGGGGGAAGUCAGAAAUUAUUUGGGAUUCCAGUGAAUGGAAUGUUGACCAUAAAUGAGAAAUGAUGCUUGGGAUAAUUCCUAGCGAGCAUUGGCUUUUAGAGUUGGGAUUGAAGUCAACCAGCUAUAAAGAGCAAGACUGGGUGGGGUACUUUGAAAUGUCAUAUCAUUGUGUAUGGCUUUUGUGGUAGUUACUGCUUCUUUUUAGAAUAAUUCUCAUAACUAGGUAGAAAGCUCACCUUUGAAACUUCUGCAUGCCUAAUAAAAUGCUUCACUCACACCCAGUUGUUUUACUCAAGCGAGUAGUUUUAUGGUAACUGCAUUUGGGGUAACAGUCUUACAGAAGAGUUAACACAAUGGGCAGAUUCCAGGUGUGCUGUCAUUUGGAGGAGGCAAAUCCAUACAGACAAGAAGUAGAUUAGUGGUUGCCUAGAGCUGGAGGAGGGUAGGGAUAAGGAAUGGAUUACUACUGGGACUGGGUUUCUUUUUGGGGUGAUGAAAAUUUUCUAAAAUUGAUUGUGGUGAUGGUUGCCUAACUCUGUGAAUAGCAAUGAAUUGUGCUAUUGUACACUUUAGGUAAAUGGUAUGGUAUAUGAGUUAUAUCCCCAAUAAAGCUGUUAAAAAAGAAUGAGAAAGACCGAGUGACUUGCCAAG